rnacentral:rRNA from 1 species
UGGAGCUUCAAACCCAACUACACCCCUAGCUCUUAUAGCCCCACAACCCCCCUAGGCACCGUGUGCUUGGUUUUAGGUUGGGGCGACCGCGGAGUACAAUAAAACCUCCACAAUGAAUGGGAACACCCCCUUAUCUGAGGGCCACACCCCCUAAGAAUUAGAACACUAACAUAAAAUGAUCCAUUAUUUGAUCAAUGAACCAAGUUACCCUGGGGAUAACAGCGCAAUCCAUUUCAAGAGCCCCUAUCGACAAAUGGGUUUACGACCUCGAUGUUGGAUCAGGGUACCCCAGUGGUGCAGCAGCUACUAACGGUUCGUUUGUUCAACGAUUAAAACCCU